UACAGAGGAGCCAAGCGUUGUCCGGAUUGACUGGGCGUAAAGCGCACGCAGGCGGCCGCGCGCGUGGGGUGUGAAAUCUGGCCGCUUAACGGCCAGGCGCCAUCCCAUACGGCGCGGCUGGAGCCAUGCAGAGGGCGGUGGAAUUGCCGGUGUAGUGGUGAAAUGCGUAGAGAUCGGCAGGAACACCCAGGGGAAACCAGCCGCCUGGGCAUGCGCUGACGCUGAGGUGCGAGAGCGUGGGGAGCGAACCGG
rnacentral:rRNA from 1 species